rnacentral:rRNA from 1 species
AGUGAACGCUGGCGGUAGGCCUAACACAUGCAAGUCGAACGGCAGCACAGUAAGAGCUUGCUCUUACGGGUGGCGAGUGGCGGACGGGUGAGGAAUACAUCGGAAUCUACUUUUUCGUGGGGGAUAACGUAGGGAAACUUACGCUAAUACCGCAUACGACCUACGGGUGAAAGCAGGGGAUCUUCGGACCUUGCGCGAUUGAAUGAGCCGAUGUCGGAUUAGCUAGUUGGCGGGGUAAAGGCCCACCAAGGUGACGAUCCGUAGCUGGUCUGAGAGGAUGAUCAGCCACACUGGAACUGAGACACGGUCCAGACUCCUACGGGAGGCAGCAGUGGGGAACAUUGGACAAUGGGCGCAAGCCUGAUCCAGCCAUACCGCGUGGGUGAAGAAGGCCUUCGGGUUGUAAAGCCCUUUUGUUGGGAAAGAAAAGCAGCAGGUUAAUACCCCGCUGUUCUGACGGUACCCAAAGAAUAAGCACCGGCUAACUUCGUG